UCUUUAUUCAUUCGUCAAAAGAAAUGGAAAUUUUAAGCAAUAGAGCAACUUCAUUCAUGCUACUAACAUAUCUUAAUAGCAAUAUCGACCGUUCGAAUCAGUUUGACAAAUUGUAUAGCUGAAGGAAAAUUAUAUAGUCAAAACAAUAUUGGACUAAUCUCUUAAAUAUCCUCUGCUCUCAUCCAGGCAUACUCGAAUGAUCCGCAAGAAAAUCAAGUCAACGUUAAUUGUAUUUUAUAGGAAAAUAUGAUUGUCAAUAAUAUGAUACGGUUUUACGUAGGGUAACGUAUAGCUAAUAUUAAGUUGCAAUCACUUCACACACCGUGG
rnacentral:lncRNA from 1 species